CGACAUCAGCACGAGUGAUGGCGGCGUAUACCUGCGGGAAGGCGGCGGCGGCAUGAAGGUACAGGGGCAAGCAGCUGCGCGGCGCAGCCUGCUGGAGCACCUCCAAGACGUUGCGGCACUUGUUCUGCUCAAUACACAAGCAAAAUAAUGAGGAUAGCUAGCGUUUGGGGAUGGGCCAGGCGGCCAACAUGACGAGGUAAUGAUGGAGCUGCUUGUGCGCCGGCAGAAGUAGUGGGACUGCAUGGAUAUGGCCACACAGACACCCAGUUGGCCUGCAGGCUCUGGCAUCGAAGUUCUUCUCGCGCCCCGGGAGCACUGCGCUGCAGCUGCUUGCCCCAUCCGCCUCCACCACGCCGUCGGAUGUCGCCUCUGCAGGUGCACGCCGUCGCCACCCGUGUUGAUGCUGA
rnacentral:pre_miRNA from 1 species